rnacentral:rRNA from 1 species
GUAGGGAAUAUUGGGCAAUGGAUGCAAGUCUGACCCAGCCAUCCCGCGUGCCGGAAGAAGGCCCUCAGGGUUGUAAACGGCUUUUGACGGUGAAGAAUCGACAGGAUGCGUCCUGUUUUGACGGUAGCCGUUGAAUAAGCACCGGCUAACUCCGUGCCAGCAGCCGCGGUAAUACGGGGGGUGCGAGCGUUGUCCGGAUUUAUUGGGUUUAAAGGGUGCGUAGGCUGGAAGGUCAGUCAGCGGUGAAAAGCUGUCGCUUAACGAUAGUCUUGCCGCAGAUACUUCCUUUCUUGGAUGAGGAGGAGGCCACUGGAACGGAUGGUGUAGCGGUGAAAUGCAUAGAUAUCAUCCAGAACACCGAUUGCGAAGGCAGGUGGCUGUACCUUAAUCGACGCUGAUGCACGAAAGCAUGGGGAGCAAACAGGAUUAGAUACCCUUGUAGUCC